rnacentral:misc_RNA from 1 species
GGAAUUCUGAUGAUGGCUUGGAUUGUCCGAUUGAGAGAAUUCAUAGUAUCGUUCCAUUUCUGAUUGGAUUCCUUGGUCUCACCACGAGAGACCAAUGUGCUAAUAAUCAUGCUGUCUACUGUACGCCCUGAAUUGAAUUUCCUGCCGAUUGAUUAUCUCGCAGAAAUGCUACCAACUUUUUGGAUCCCAGCCCAGCGCAGAGAUAGUGGCAGCUCUGCGCAGAAAGUGUUGAG